rfam:Branchiostoma floridae genomic scaffold BRAFLscaffold_174, whole genome shotgun sequence.
UCACCGGCCCUUUUCAGGGCCACCCAUCCACUCAAAAAGAGCUGU